rnacentral:antisense_RNA from 1 species
UGUGGGAGCGGGCUUGCCCGCGAUAGCUUUCGACCAUUCAAUAUGUAUGUUGGCGGUCAGAUUGCUAUCGCGGGCAAGCCCGCUCCUACA